GGGGGAGUGACUCUCUCCCCUUCACCCGGAAUUUGCCAUAACCGGAUUGGCUUCCGGGCGCCUCUGCCUAUCGUCCUCUCUUCCGGUGGAUUGUGUGCACCUUCUUUCUACUUGUCAUUGACGUAGCUUUUAAGGCCUUAUCUUUGGAGUGGGUGGCUGGUUGGCAAGGGGGUUGCCUUAUUUAGGGUUAGCUAAGACUUAGUACGGGGGCGAGUAGAUUAUCUAUUGAACUCUGUAAUGACUCUCGAGAGAAUACACAUGUAUGUAAGUGUAUAUGUUAGUGCUUAGGUAGGAGUACGCAGCGCCUUAGUUGGCACCCCACCCCCCCGCGCUUCCCUAUAUUUUAUUGGAGGCGGGGGGCGGCUUAUUGUUUGUGCACCUGGCUUUCUCUCUGUCCUGCCUGUCAGCUUAUUUUAGUCUCUUGGUGCAAGUCCCAAAGCCAUUUGGUGCCUUUCGAUCAGUUUGUCUUUCUUUCUCUUUCUUUUUCUUCCUUCCUUCCUCCUACCCAUCUUUGACUUGCUUCCCAGGGGAAAUCUCUCUAGCAAAGGUUUUUUUUUUUUUUUUUUUACACUCCUUCUAGUCAGGAUUAGUUUCUGGAGCCCUGUGCCCACACAAGCAUUGGGAAGAGGACGUUUCUGUUUGUCCUCGUUUUGUCACCGGGUAGUACUGUCGGGUUUUCAGUCAUGCAGGGGGAAUACGGCUACGUGAGUUUCAGAAUUACUGAUUUAGUCAUUUAUUCUGCAGUACUAGGGAUUGAACCCAGGGGCUUCAAACAGAGCGACAUUCCCAGCUUUUAAAACCUAAUCUUAUUUUGCUUUUUGAGAUUGGGUCUCCCUAAAUCGGUAAGUUGCCUAGGCUGGGCUCUAACUUGCCAUCCUCCCGCCUCAGCCUUCCAUAGUGCUGGGAUUACAAACGUGUGCCACCAGGCCUGCCCUUGAGUUUCAGUCUCACAUCCAUGAUAGCGUCUUGCCUUUCUAACGUCAGAUGAAAGUGUUGCACCCAGUGAGAAAGAACCAACCAGAGACCGAUAUUGAAUCCACACAGGAGUUUAUUACCGGCCGGGACGCGAGCCGAGCAACGGACUCGAACGAGCCUCGACUGGGGGGAGACAAACAUGUUUUAUACACCUUUGAGGCCAACAGUUUCUAGGCCCCCUGUAGGGAACAGGGAAAGGGGACGUUACUAGAACCUCUGCAGUGAGUCCUCGUCUCCUGCGAGCCACGGCAGCACAAGGCGAAUUACAGGAAAGGUAGAAAAAUGAGACCUUGAAAAGAAGCUGAGCUUUGGGUCUGAUCAGUGCUGCUCUGGGCGGCAAAGACGAAAGCCCCCAGCUUACCGCACCUUUUAUUCAGUACAUCGGGAGAAACAAAGUGUAACAAAUGACUUGCCGAGAGUUCAGUACAUCCUGCGUAAAUAAGAUGUAACGAUCCAAGAACAAGGAGGAACUGAGUAGACGUUUGUUCCUCCCAGGAUGUUUUCAGCUCCCAGGAUGUUUCCUGUCCUGGAGAAUCACAGACAGCAUCACCGGAUCAUUGAGGUCUCAGUUGUGACCGGAGGCCAAAAUGCAAUUAUGUCUCGGAAUUCCAUAGCUGGGUUGUAGGCAGGAGAACUAGGCUAACCAACCCACCAGCCCCCCCCCCCCCCCC
rnacentral:lncRNA from 1 species